rnacentral:rRNA from 1 species
GAGUUUGAUCUUGGCUCAGGAUGAACGCUGGCGGCGUGCUUAACACAUGCAAGUCGAACGAAGCGCCUUAUUUGAUUUUCUUCGGAACUGAAGAUUUGGUGACUGAGUGGCGGACGGGUGAGUAACGCGUGGGUAACCUGCCCUGUACAGGGGGAUAACAAUCAGAAAUGACUGCUAAUACCGCAUAAGACCACAGCACCGCAUGGUAGCAGGGGUAAAAACUCCGGUGGUACAGGAUGGA